GCAAAGGUAGCAUAAUAAUUUGCCUCCUAAUUAGAGGCUAGAAUGAACGGACCUUCUUUGUCUAGCUGUCUCGAGCUUUCUAACGGAAAUUUAUAUUUAAGUGAAGAAACUUAAAUUAACCAGCAGGACCAAAAGACCCUAUAGAGCUUUAUAGAGAAAACAAACUUCAUAUGUCAACCUCUAUUUCAUUGGGGCGAUGAGAGAUAAAACCAACUCUUGUAUUAAAGAGCCACAACUCUAAUUUCUAUGCCUUUAGGAUAAAGAAAAAGCUACCUUAGGGAUAACAGUCUAAUUUUCUCCGAUAGCCCACAUCUAAGAGAAAGAUUGGCAC
rnacentral:rRNA from 1 species